CAACCCUCAAGCCCCAGCGGUUUGGUGUUGGGGACCGGCGAGUACAGAGGCUUUGGGGACUUGUCCCCCUUCCCUCGGCGCCGCCCCCGAAAUGAAUUGGCGGUCUCGUCGCGGCCUCCUCUGCGUAGUAGCACAACCUCGCAUCAGGAGCGCGGCGCGGCCACUGCCGUAAAACGCCCAACUUUUUUUUAAG
rnacentral:misc_RNA from 1 species